rnacentral:lncRNA from 1 species
AUGGGAAGACUUUGGCAGAGGGCCGACGGGAGGCGGGAGGAGCGACGUUGGCACUCUCCCGGCAAAAUCCAUCUCUAUCAGCCUCGGAAGCCGUCUCUCGUCUCAUCUCUGGAAUUUGGAGCGAAGAGAAGGUGUUUGCACGUCCUCAGAGAGGUGAUGGUCGAGAACCAAACACAAGCUGCUACCUGCCGCCGAACAAAAACGGUGGACACAUUUCUGAAUCCGGUCUUCUUUCAUCCUUCGGGGGUGUGCUCGGGUUAUCUCGCGGCUCAAAGACCCUGGGUCUUGAUUACAGGUUUUAAACUCCACUAAAGAACCAGUUGAGCACAGGCCUGCUGUGAAACCCAGCAUAUUUGGGUAUAUUUAAAAAUACCUCCCCUCCUGCCAGCUCCUCCUUCCUCAAGACUCGGCUCAGAGAUGACUUUGUCCCGCAAGCCUCCUGUGACCUUGUCCCAGGCCACACCCCACAGCAAGGCUGUGUUCUCCUCUCUCUGCUCCUGGAGCCUGGGCACAGCCAUAGCUUAACUCUUACCGCCUUGAGUAACGUGAAUUUCUUCACCUAGACUCCGCAUUCCUGGAGCCGUGCUGGUUAACGCCAUAGCCACCAGCCACGUGUGGCUAUUUAAAUCUACACUGAAAUUCAUGCAAAUUCAAUACAAUUGAAACUCCAGUUCUUCGAUGCACUAGCCCCAUUUCAAGUCCUCAGUGGGUCCCCGUUGGUCCCAUAUUGGACAGCGCAGAUAUCAAAUAUUGCUAUCAUUACAGAAAGUUCUAGAGGACAGAACUUCCCCGGGGAGGGGGGCAGGAAUCACGGGUUAAUUAUUAGUUUUGGACUAGCAGAGUGCUUAGGACAUGGACUUGAGAGGCAGGCAGACCUUACUUCAAAUCCCAACCCCUAAUCUUACUAGCUGUGUGAUCUUGGCAAAGUUCAAUUUUUCUAUACCUACCCCGCUGGGGUUUGGUUGUGACGCUUAUGUAAGUUAAUACAUAGGAAGGGCUUAGAACAGAGCCUGACACUUAGUGAGCCCCAAGCAAGUGAUAGCUAUUAUUAUCAUCAUCAUCCCCAGUAAAGUAGGCAGCGCAUAGUAGGUCCUGUGAAAUGUUUAUUGAUUGCCUAAGCAAAUGAAUGAAAUAACGAUUGAAUGAAUGGACUUUAUUCUUGGCUUUAAUGAAAGCUACACCUCUUUGGAAACCAAAGAUGAUUGCUAUUAAUAAUGAUAGCUCCUACUUACUCAGCAUUUAUUGCAUACCAGGCGCUCUGCUAAGUGCCUUUACACAUUCCUCGCACAGCCCGAUGAGCACACUGCUAUUAUUAACCACCUCUUUUUAGAGAUGAGGAAACUGAGACUCAGAGAUAUGAAGCCAAAGCAUACAAAGAUAGGAAGAUUUGAAGCUGCACCUCUCUGCCCUGGUGGAGGUGUCAUUGCUUCCAGAUUAUCGGCUGCCAUGAUUGCUUCUAGAAGUGUUUCCAUCUUACCCUCUCUGAUUCUGCUCUCUUGGAUGGGCGGGGGCAAAUGCAGGCAGCGAAUGAGAUGCGCCCAUUGCUCGCUGGUCCUUGGGGAGGGCCGUGGCUCCCCAUUGUGAGAACACACCUGCAAGAAGGAAGGCAGCCUGCUCAGUUUUCUUUCCUGUGCACAGAAAGACUUUUGACCCUGGUUUCUCAGAUUCUUUUCUUUGCCCGUCCAUCCCCGGGGCGCCGGCCCUCUGGCUGAGCCCACCCCUCCCCACCGCCCCACGCGCACCACCGAGCAAUGGGGAAGCCGCAGACAAGGGCGCCUUUCUUCAAAGUGGUCGCCUUCAUCUCAUAAAUUCUCAGCCCCGGCCUGAUUGGCUGCGACGAAAAGGAGCCAGGCCCCCGCUCCGCUCCUCAGAUACAAAGCGAGUUGUGUGCGGUUUGCCCACGUGAGGCCAAUCACAGGGGCCUGCCCCUCUCAGAAAUCCCAAAGGACAAAAUGCCAGAGAGCCCCAACAGGCGACCGCCCGGUCACGGGAUCAAAAUUAUCUAUGGCAAGACAAAGGAAAGCAGAUAGCUGGGAAACCAAGACAAUGAAGGGGCACUGCGAAGGAGGUCUCCGCAGUCAUUUCUAACCUGAAGCCUUAAAGGGCGCUUAACCCUUUUCCCUCCCCCACCUUUUAACUUCCGGCCGGUUAGGGUCUGUGCGCACACUGGGACAGCGCCCAAACCUUGUGGGCAUGGUCCCCGAUUCAGCCAAUCCCGGUGGUUCCUUUUGCCACUUUCAAGGACUUGUCUUCCCACGAAGCCUAAUUCCAAUGUUUCCUCCAAUUUUUAGACACUAAAAUUAGUCCAACUGUGCCUUCUAAUUCUGUAGACACAACCCAGCUUGUGCAAAUGUCCCUCUCUUCCAUUUCUGGGUGAAUUUUUGCAUAGUACAGGCUGCCAAUUUUGUCGAGUGUUCUUGGGGAAGAUAGAAGUUUAAAAUCAUCUAGCUGCUUACCAUGAAACAAAUGCUGUGGAGCCCAAAGUUCUGAUUUAGAGAGGACGCUGCACACUGCACUCUCGUGAAAGACAAACCCAGACAAGUGCCCUACAUCGGUGCCUGCUGAACAACACUGGAGAAAGAUGAACUGUAAUUGACUGAGCACUUACUAGGGACCUACACAUCCCCCAGGCUUUUAUAUAUUUGACACAAUUUUAUUUGUCCUCAUAGCAACUUGCCCUCUGGAGUAGAUAAAAUCCUGUCCCCAUUUCACAGAUCAGGAUACUCAGGCCCAGCAAGCUUAAGGAAUUGCCCAAAGAUGCCGCUAGAAAUUGACGGAGCCGGGAUUUGAACCCAGAUCUCUCUGACUACAAAGGCUGAGUUCUUAACCUCCAUGCUCAUUAUUAUUUUUAUAAAAUACAAUGCAUUAUCUGCAGAAAUGGAAAGAUGCUCACAACCUGUAAGUGAAAAUACAGGCAACAAGAUUGCACAAUUCUGUGAUACUGUUACAAAAGGAGAGAUAGAUGCUAGGUGGAUAGGAGGAAAAAUACCAGGACAAUGUUUGUCAAAAGCUUGAAUGAUUUUCUGUUGUGAUUUUUUUGCUUUUUUUCCCCCUUGAUGCUUUUCUUUGCUUUCCGAGUGUUCUUUGGGAAGCAUGCAUAACUUCUGCCAUUAGGACGGAAGUGUGUGUGCAUGUGUGUGUGCAUGCUUUAAAAGCAAGAGGAUAUAGGGGCUGGGCCCAUGGUGUAGUGGUUACGUUUGGCAUGUUCUAGUUCGGCAGCCCAGGUUCGCGGGUUGGGAUCCCGGGGAUGGGCCUACACCACUCAUCAGCCACACUGUGGUGGCAUCCCACAUACAAAACAGAGGAAGAUUGGCACAGAUGUUAGCUCAGGGCUAGUCUUCCUCAAGCCAAAAAAAAAAAAAAAAAGGAAUUGGCAACAAAUGUUAGCUCAGGGUGAACCUUCCUCAGGGAAAAAAACAAAAAAGCAAGAGAGUAUAGAGAAGAUGACAAAGUAGGCCAAGGAAUCCAGUUAUCUAAAUCCCGCCCCAAACUGCAAUUUGGGAACUCAAAGUUAUCCCAAAAUGAUGAAUCAAAAGACUUAAGCCAUCUGCCCCCUAGACCAAGUGUAGCCAAGUGACAAUGACCAUGAGAAACACCUUUAAACAAUGCACUGGGGGCCGGCCCGGUGGGGCAGUGGUUAAGUUUGCACGCUCUGCUUCCACGGCCCAGGGUUCCCGGGUUCAGAUCCUGGGUGGGGACAUGGCACCGCUUGGCACCCCAUGCUGUGGUAGGCAUCCCACAUAUAAAGUAGAGGAAGAUGGGCAUGGAUAUCAGCUCAGGGCCAGUCUUCCUCAGCAAAAAGAGGAGGAUUGGCAGCAGAUGUUAGCUCAGGGCUAAUCUCCUUCUUCAAAAAAAACACACCAAUGCCCUGGAGGGUGUGCUCUGAGGGGGGAAACAGGCUGAAGGGGAGGUGGUAAGACUCACCUGAGCAAAGACAAAGGCUUCGUUCCUGAGGCCCUCCCAGCCAUCGCGACAGCCGCUCCCAGGCAGCCAGCUCCAGCUUUCUGGAGAAACACAGAGCAGUGCGGGGAGAAGGGCAGCAAACCUUCAGCCUGGCCCCCAAGACAAAUCCCUAGACUCUGGCAGGAGGCAGCCCGGCUGAUUGCAGGCCUAUAUUUUUCAUUUCUUGUUUUAACAGUCAUAAACGCCUUCCUAUGCCAAAGCAGAACAUGACUUUAAUCCAGAUAAAAUAAAAUUCCUAAAGCCUGAAAACUACA